GUGGAUUUAGCUCAGCAGGUUAGAGCAUCAGAUUGUGGUUCUGAGGGUCGUCGGUUCGAAUCCGACACUCCACCC
rnacentral:tRNA from 1 species